rfam:Triticum aestivum genome assembly, contig: Triticum_aestivum_CS42_TGACv1_scaffold_051085_1BS
CAUGUACUCCCUCCGUUCGGAAAUACUUGUCGGAAAAAUAGACGUUUCUAGAUGUAUUUUAGUUCUAGAUACAUCCAUUUUUAUGCAUUUCUGCCAUAAGUAUUUCCGGACGGAGGGAUUACUUU